rnacentral:rRNA from 2 species
UCGUAAAACUCUGUUGUUGGAGAAGAAUGGUCGGCAGAGUAACUGUUGUCGGCGUGACGGUAUCCAACCAGAAAGCCACGGCUAACUACGUGCCAGCAGCCGCGGUAAUACGUAGGUGGCAAGCGUUAUCCGGAUUUAUUGGGCGUAAAGCGAGCGCAGGCGGUUUUUUAAGUCUGAUGUGAAAGCCCUCGGCUUAACCGAGGAAGUGCAUCGGAAACUGGAAAACUUGAGUGCAGAAGAGGACAGUGGAACUCCAUGUGUAGCGGUGAAAUGCGUAGAUAUAUGGAAGAACACCAGUGGCGAAGGCGGCUGUCUGGUCUGUAACUGACGCUGAGGCUCGAAAGCAUGGGUAGCGAACAGGAUUAGAUACCCUGGUAGUCCAUGCCGUAAACGAUGAAUGCUAGGUGUUGGAGGGUUUCCGC